UACGUAGGUGACAAGCGUUGUCCGGAUUUACUGGGCGUAAAGAGCGCGCAGGCGGUCGAUCAAGUCGAGUGUGAAAGCCCCCGGCUCAACUGGGGAGGGUCAUUCGAUACUGAUCGACUCGAAGGCAGGAGAGGGUAGUGGAAUUCCCGGUGUAGUGGUGAAAUGCGUAGAUAUCGGGAGGAACACCAGUGGCGAAGGCGGCAUCCUGGACCAACUCUGACGCUGAGGAGCGAAAGCCAGGGGAGCAAACGGG
rnacentral:rRNA from 1 species